rnacentral:rRNA from 1 species
CCUACGGGUGGCAGCAGUGAGGAAUAUUUGUCAAUGGGCGCGAGCCUGAACCAGCCAAGUCGCGUGAAGGAUGACUGCCCUACGUGUUGUAAACUUCUUUUAUAAAGGAAUAAAGUUGACCAUGUCUCCUUUUUUGUCUGUACCUUAUGAAUAAGGAUCGGCUAACUCCGUGCCAGAAGCCGCGGUAAUACGCAGGUUCCGAGGGUUAUCCGUAUUUAUUGGUUUUAAAGGGAGCGUAGAUGGGAUGUUAAGUCAGUUGUGAAAGUUUGCGGCUCAACCGUAAAAUUGCAAGUGAUACUGGCUGUCGUGAGUACAGGAGAGGUAGGCGGAAUUCGUGGUGUAGCGGUGAAAUGCUUAGAUAUCACGAAGAACUCCGAUUGCGAAGGCAGCUUACUAGACUGCAACUGACAGUGAGGCUCGAAAGUGUGGGGAUCAAACAGGAUUAGAUACCCCAGUAGUC